UACGUAGGGAGCAAGCGUUGUUCGGAUUUACUGGGCGUAAAGGGCGCGUAGGCGGCAAAUUAAGUCAGCUGUGAAAUCUCCGAGCUUAACUCGGAACGGUCAGCUGAUACUGAUUCUGCUAGAGUGCGGAAGGGGCAAUCGGAAUUCUUGAUGUAGCGGUGAAAUGCGUAGAUAUCAAGAGGAACACCUGAGGUGAAGACGGGUUGCUGGGCCGACACUGACGCUGAGUGCGCGAAAGCCAGGGGAGCAAACGGG
rnacentral:rRNA from 1 species